UUUUUUUUUUCUUUUUCACCCAACUGUCUCAUUAAAGCCAGUGGUUUAUCCUCCAUCCCCCUUUGAGUGUCUACUUAAAAGAACAAGGCAAGAUAUUAUGGGGAUCAAAUUUUCAUUUAAUUUACCACUUUUCUUAGUGAGGGAGGCAGUUACCUUAUACAUGGUAUUAUAAAUAUUUGUAAAUGAUGGUUUGUCAACAUCUCACACUCUACUGGGUGACGGGGCUGGUGCAGUGAAUGAGAGUGUAGUGUCUGACAACUGCUAACAUCAUAGAUGGCAGUUCUUAAAAGGUGCAGGGGGAGGAACACAGGCAAGAUGAGGGACCAUGUGGCCCAGGAAGCUAUUACACGGGCCAUGCUUUAAGUAUUUGCUGAAGGUGACCAAACAUGUGUUGUGGAACAGUUCGACCAAAUAGGCACCACUGAAUUCUCAAACUUGAGUAUGCCCCCGAAUUGCCCAAGGAAAGUCUUAAUUAUUGGGGUGGAUAGCCUCCACCCCAGAGAAUCUGAUUCAGCAUAUCUGUUGUAGACCCAGGAAGCUGUAUUUUCAAUAAACACCAAGGUGAGUUCAAUGCAGUUGGAAGAAUAAAGACUGCUCUUAAGGGUAAGCCGGGUACCAUAAGUUUUUGAACAUUUCAUGAGAAACCUAUUAAAAGACAAAAUUACAACAAUUUAGUCUAAAAUAUAACUUGCUUUUAUUUGCAAUUCUAGAAUUUGUCAAUAUCACAUUCUACAAAAUAGAACGAGUGUUCCAAUGAGCUCAGUAGAGAAGGUUGACCUUAUAGACAGAAAAGGGUUGAAGAAAGUAGAAACAGAGAAUGAAAAGCAGAUUGGUGGUUUCAAAGUUACUUUCCUUAUAGGAUUAAAACAGAGGAAACCUUCAUAUUAUGCUGACCGAGGUUGACAGGAAUCUCCCGGUUUUUUUUAAAACUGGCUCAUUUCAAAGUUAAGUUUGAUUACAUGGCAUUAGCACAAACGACUUCAUUCUGGUUGGGUCUGGUCUGCUGGAGCCCAGUGCGGGAGGCUGGUCCAAAACAAUGGCCUCCUAUAAACUUUAAUAAUCCUAAACAAAAAUGACAAAUUGUAGGUGUACAGCUUAAGAGAUCCUCAAAAGAGCAGAUAUUUCUGCUAUUCAGCAACUGCCUUAAAAAGAAAGUAGAGGAUGUUUUGAGGACUUUAAAAGCCUAACUUAACGCUCAUUUCAAGUAAUUGAUGCCACCAAGAGAAGCCUAACUUCUAAUGCCAUAGACACUUUUAAACUGUUUCUGAACUUUACAGAAAUAAAACUCUAAAGGAUGUACUUUUAAUAUUUUCUUUUACUCAGUAUUCUAUUUGUCAGGCUCACCCAUAAUAUUGGCUAUAGGUAUAUUCAUCACUUCCUUUCUUAAAAAAUGUAUCUUCUUAGCAUUCACUUUGAGAUAGUUGGGUCAUUCAAUUACUAUUUUUAGCUUUUUGAAAUUGUUAUCUUUUCAUCUAGUAAUGAGUCAGCUAGCUGAUUCCAGGUGUCCACCUUGAGACAUGCCAAAAUUAAUUUUUAGCCAUAUGUUGUUUGUUUAAUUAAAUCUAUGGAAACAAACAAAAAUCGUAGCAGGACGAGCUGCAGACAAAACUCCUCAGACACCGAGAACCAUUUUCCAAGCAUGGCCCCAGGAUCAAAUCCCUGACACACUUGCACGGGCACAUGUGCCAGUUUUGUCGUAUCUCUAACUAUGUCUUCAACUACUUGCUCUUGAUCAUCUAUUUGUAGACAGCAAUUAGUAAGGUUAAAUUUCCCACAGACCCCUCCUUCAGCUGCUAGCAAGUAGUUGAGAGCCAAUCUAUUUUGAUAGAUACCAUUUCUCAUC
rnacentral:lncRNA from 1 species